UACGAAGGGGGCUAGCGUUGUUCGGAAUUACUGGGCGUAAAGCGUAUGCAGGCGGAUCGUUAAGUCGGGGGUGAAAUCCCGAGGCUCAACCUCGGAACUGCCUUCGAUACUGGCGACCUUCGAGUCCGGGAGAGGUGAGUGGAACUCCGAGUGUAGAGGUGAAAUUCGUAGAUAUUCGGAAGAACACCAGGUGGGCGAAGGCGGGUCUCUGGGCCGUAACUGACGCUGAGGCACGAAGGUCAGGGGAGCAAACGGG
rnacentral:rRNA from 1 species